AACCAGCUUCAUAAAGCUCCUAUUACCUCCACAUACAUGCCAUGGCAUAUAUGUUCUCCCUCCAUAUCACUAAAUAAAUAAAAGUUUCAAAAGGUAGUAUGUCUUUAAAAAGAAAAGCAGAAAUAGCCCUCAACAUGGCUGUCCACUCCCACCUUCUUUCUGCUUCUCUACAAUGCUAACCACGGCUGACAUAUUUAUUAUAUCUGCCUAACUCUCUCACUAGGAAAUAGAUCCAUGGAGGUAAGAAUAUUUGAACAUUGUAUCUUCAGAAGACAUUUAUAACAGAGCCCCUGCUAAAUGUGGUCUAGAUAAUUGUUGAAUCGGAUAAAAAGCAUCUUAGGCACAAGUGAGAUAAAUGACGUAUUUUUAUCCCGUCUGAGAAAUACAAGCACUGAUUUAUGGGUGCCAAUGGUGGGACAUACAACAUUUCAAAACUGGAAAGGUCUGCAGGGCUCAUUUAGAGUCACCUGAUUUUCAGAACAAGUCAUUUUGGUAGUAUAAAACUGGUGGCAGAACCAGAACUAAAAUUCUUUAUCUGGGAAUCGUCUCAACUUAUUUCCCAAUCACUUAGUAUGAGUGCAUCUAGGGCUGUCUUUUCCCACUCAGCUUUCUGUCAAACCCACCACCAGGCUGCUGUGUUCUUUGUUCCCACUUAGGCUGCAUUCUGGCUGGCCAGCUAUGGGGCUUUAACUUCCCCUGUUGUUUAAGGGGAAAGGUAUGUGGUGGGGAAGGGAAUUAGCUAGCCGCGGCUUUUGAAGCAGUCUGGAGUCUGCCUCUUUAAUGGCUUCCUUUAAGCAUUUGUUUCUAAAGCCAGGUCAUCAAAGACAAGCACCAUCUGCAAUUUCCCAGCUCUUCAUCUAGUUGGGAAAGCCUGGUGCACACCCUCAAGACACCAUUUGGUACCUUCACUGGGUUCAGAUAAGCAGGAAGUGGCCUCUUGGGAAGAAAAACAAGCAAAUCUGCAGAUGAUGUGCUCAGGGUUUACAUUUUGCUUAUUGAUUAAAAGUAGUUUUAUUAUUAAGUUCCAAAGAGUGACAAGGACAAUUAUAGAUAAAUAAAGAAACACUUUCAUUUUUUAAAAAAAUUAUCAACACAUUAAUAGUACAUAAAAAUGGUUUUCCAUUAUGAUCAAUAGCUAUAAAUAGAGAUUAUUCCCUCUUUCAUUUUGAGACAAGGUCUUAUGUAUCCCAGGCUGACUUUGAACUUCAGAUCCUUCUGCCCCUACAUCUCAAAUGCUGGGAUUACAGGCGUUUGAUUAUGUGUGGCUCAGGAGGGAGCCGGGGCUUCUGCAAGCUAAGCAGUCACCUUAGCCACAUCCCCAACCCUUGAUUGAGAUUUUUUUUAUAGGAUUAAAUUUAACUUCAACAGUAAAUGACUGCUCCCCAGGAAGACUCAAAGAUAAACCAGGCAACUAAACUCUAAAUGUUCACCAUCUGAUUUUUCUUUCGUCUCUAUGGAUUCACCUAGCAAUUAAACAAUCAAUAGUUGUCCUGUAAGUGGUGAGUGAACCCAUGCAUUCUAUGACCUGGAAAACCUACCAUUACAUGAGUGGAAGUGUGAAAUGAUUUGGAAAUGAUCGGGGCCAUCAAGUGCACACUCAUGGGCGGGUAAGGAUGCUUCCUCCCUUUGACACAUUUGGGGAGGUCCCGCUCUGGGAAUGCUUGGUAAAUCUUCAGGCUGGGACUUGGCUCCACAUGCAGGACAUUCUACAUGGGAUCUGGGGACGUCUGCAGUAGCGACUUCUUCCAGGUUGUGAGACACUAAGAUCUGCUCAGUACAAAUUCUAUCACUGGCGACUGGGAAAGAUCUUUCAAAAGCACCCUUGAAUACAUUCUCUUCCUGAAACACAUCUAUGCAGAGAUUACUAGCCCUGUUUUAAAGACAAGGCCAUGGACGCUCAGGCCGGAGGACAACGUUUGAGGAUUGGUUCUCUUGCUCCACUGUCGGAUCCUGUGAUCACACUCAGGUUUGUCACACGUUAUACUUACACACUCACUGGCCUGGUGUCUGUUUUAAAAAAAAUGUUUAAAAACAUUUGUGUGUGUAAAUGAGUGUGUGCACAUGUCUUUGUGGGUAUUCUGUGCAUGUAUGUGUGUAUGCAUAUGUGUGUGCGUAGGUCAGAGUGCAACCUCAAAUGUUAUUUCCUCAAAUGGAACCAUCCUCCUUGUGUUUGAGCCAAGAUCUCUCUUCCUGGCCUGGAACUUGCCAAGUGGGCCAAUCUGGCUGGCCAGCCAGUGCCAGGGAGCUGCCUGUUUCUGCCUCCCCAGAGAGGGCAUCAUGAGGAAAACCUAAGUGUUGCGGCAUCUGAAGCUGAAACGGUGUGACUGGACCACUCCGUGCGAUGUUUGGAGGAAGUGGAGAUGGUCCAAGGUGCUAUUGUGUCGAGUUGGCACCUUCAGAUCAAACACAGUUGGCUGUUAGGCCUGUCACUCUCUGAUGUGGUUGUUAAACAAAGGUGGCAGAGGUCUUCGCUGUGUUUUACUCUUUUUCUUGCUUAAAAACAGAAAGCCUUGAGCUUCAGUUGUGACAUGGGGUCUCCCUUACCUAUUUGUGGGUUUUCUUAAUGCUCUUAAAGUGAACUUCUCAGGCAGAUGGGGGUGAGCAUAGUUCCCCAAAUCUCUAAAGAGAGAUAUGACAGAGCUCAGCUGAGACAAGCCAGACACCUGCUUGUGCCCGUUUAGUGUUUGGCUUUGGCUUGUCUCCCAUGCUCAGAAGCCCGGCUUUCAUCUUCUCACCGAGCACAACAUCUGUUUGGACCAGAAGACUGGAAGACUAAUGGCACCAAGACGGAGACUCUCCCUCUCAGGCGCAUUUCCUUCUUCGGCUGCAAAUGAAGCAGAGCAGAGGGGCCUCAACAGAAAGGACUGUGCUGGGGAGAAACACAAAUGUCGUGUUUGCCGCUCAGGGGCAAGAAAACAGCAUGGGAAAGGCGAACUAAAUGCUGUCUGACCUGGCUGUGGGCAGAGGUGCUCUUUCCCUGUGGGGGACUCUCUCAAGACUGUUAGAGCUGAGAAUCAGGGUCAGUGCGCCUUGACUUUAUCCCCAGAGGAUGGAAUCCUGGUAACAGAUCUUUGGAGAAGAACCUUCCCCAUGGUCCAUUUACUGGAAUAAAA